rnacentral:rRNA from 1 species
GAUGAACGCUGGCGGCGUGCUUAACACAUGCAAGUCGAACGGGAAUUACUUUAUUGAAACUUCGGUCGAUUUAAUUUAAUUCCAGUGGCGGACGGGUGAGUAACGCGUGGGUAACCUGCCUUAUACGGGGGGAUAACAGUCAGAAAUGGCUGCUAAUACCGCAUAAGCGCACAGAGCUGCAUGGCUCAGUGUGAAAAAAUCCGGUGGUAUAAGAUGGACCCGCGUUGGAUUAGCUGGUUGGUGGGGUAACGGCCCACCAAGGCGACGAUCCAUAGCCGGCCUGAGAGGGUGAACGGCCACACUGGGAAUGAGACACGGCCCAGACUCCUACGGGAGGCAGCAGUGGGGAAUAUUGCACAAUGGGGGAAACCCUGAUGCAGCCAUGCCGCGUGUGUGAAGAAGGCCUUCGGGUUGUAAAGCACUUUCAGUGGGGAGGAAGGGGUGAUGACUAACAUUCAUCAGCAUUGACGUUACCCACAGAAGAAGCACCGGCUAACUCCGU